AUCUAUGGCCAUGCUACCCUGAACAAGCCCGAUCCCGUCUGAUAUCGGAAGCUAAGCAGGGUCGGGCCUGGUUAGUACUUUGGGAGACCACUUAGGAAGACCAAGUGCUGUAGGCG
rnacentral:rRNA from 1 species